CCAUAACUUUAAUUUGAAAUGUCCAUUUUUUUUUAUUUAUGUUUAUUUUAUCCUUUUACUUAUAUUUAUUUUAUCUUUUUAUUAUAAUCAAAAAUAAACGGGGUUAAUUAUGUGAAAAUUAUAGCCCUUUCAUUUCACUCGGGAAAGUUUUGCAAGAAAUACCUUACUCAAAUCGCAAGAAAUAUCAUAUAUCUUUAUUUAUUUUCUCAAUGUAAAAACUAAACUAGACUUUCAUGAAUAAAGAUAUUUUUGAUGGUUUUAAGAUAUAGGUUAUAACCUAUUACAUCUUCCUUUAAAAUGCUGAAUUUCUAUUAAUUGCGUAAUAUACUUUUUUCAAUGUUAAAGAAAUAAUAAUUUUGAAAUCACUUUAUUUCCACGUCUUAUCACUAUAUUUCCCCAAGUCCUUCAAAUAUGUAAUAUACGUAACUCAAGUAAAUAAAUUUAAAUAACCCAACUUACAUUUUUCAUUAACCCGUGAAAAAUUUCUUUAACUCGGAUGAAUUUUCGUAUAAACAAUAUCAGACUGAAUCGUCCACAAAUUCAUGAUAUUUAUUUACUCUUUAAACUAAAUUUAUUUUAAAAUAAUUCAAAUAUUUUGAGUUAUUGGUUCUAUUUUGAACAAAUUUUUUUUGAACUAUUGUUUCUAAAGACUCGUGUAUUGUAUGAAUCGUAUAUACUCCUGUAUUCUCAUUUAAAUUAGCAUAAAAAUCAGUUGCAUAGAAAACAAUUUCUCACUUGCUUAGAUAGAUAUAUCAAAUGAGCAAAGAGAGACAGGUACAAAUUUGUACUUCUUGUAUAUUAAACUCUUAUAACUUCUAAACUAUUGGUCCAGUCAUCUCGUUAUUACUCUUAUUCUAUCAUACGUGGGAAAAAAAGCAUCAGGAACAAUGCCUUAUUUAUCUGGAUAAUAGAAAUUCAAUUCUAACCUUCAAACCACACCCAUUUCCCUUCAAAACGGGAGAAAUGUAAGAGAGUUUUCAUGCAUAAUUUAUGAAGACAUAACAAAGUUUUCCAUGGGGAAAAAAAUCUGGGGUAUUUAUUUUUUCGAAGAAAUAGUAUAAUUUUACUGGAUUACAUUAAAAAUUACAAUGGUCAAUAAUUUCAAAGUGUAUUAUAUUUUAUAGCAUUUUAAGCAUUUUUAUUUGGCAUAAAUGUUUUGCUAUUUUUCCCGUCAUAUGCUUUUAUGACUGUAGUUAAUUUGCUUAUUAUUUUGUAGCUAUUGUUUUGCAAUUAUUUGUUUAUCUUAAAUGAUAUAUAUUGUUAUUAAUAUCAUCAUGACAGCUAAUUUAUAUUUCUAAAGACAUUAUUUCAUUCAUACGUUUAUAUAUUUCAGUUUCUCACCCUUGAAGAGAAAAGUCGAUUUAUUGAGAUUUUGUGGUAUUUUCUCUAAUUUUUAUUUUUCCCCUUUCGUAAAAUCUUUAUUAUACUUAUGACACCAUAAUUAUUUUGUAUUUGCUAUAAAAUAACUUUUCCUUUACAUUUUUGUUUAUUUAUAAAAUAUGCAUUACAUGUUUAUUUUUUAAUGCUAAUUUCAUCACGUAAAAAUGCUACGUGAUUAUUUCCUUAACUAGCAAGAUUCAGAAGUAAGAAAUACUGAUAAGAAGAAAUUCCAGCAUCAUAGAAAUAUGUUUUAUUUGAUGUUGAGCUGUUAUAUGGUGCCUACAAGAAAGAUUUGAAUCCUUUAAAAUUCAUGGUAACCAAGAGAUCUUGACUGUUUCUUUUAGUUUGUGAUUUGAAGAAAGUUCCUGAAAUCUGCAUUUAUCGGAAUGUGAAGAUUACCCAGAAAACCACAGAACUUCGAACUAAUUUAUUAUGUCAUUAAUUCAAAUACGUAGUCAAAUAUCAACAGACAUGUUAAAAUAAUAUGUCGAAGGAAAAUAAUCACAAUUUUUUUAUAAAAUACCGUUUUUUAUAACUCAAAAAACAUAUCAAAUUUAUUUUUGUAUCAAAUAAAUCUAUACUUAUUUAUA